rnacentral:lncRNA from 1 species
ACAGAGAGGACCACCACCCACAUCAUCCUGUCAGUAGAGAGUGUGUGUACCACGAUGCCAACAUUCCAGGUGGAAUCCUACACUGCUGUAUACUAUUCUUGGGCUCCAAAAUCAUUGCGGAUGGUGACUGCAACCAUGAAUUAAAAGAUGCUUGCUCCUUAAAAGGAAAGCUAUGACCAACCUAGACAGCAUAUUAACA